GUUCGACGAAAAUAGCAAGAAUAUCGAGACGAACGUAUUACAUCUAGAUUAACGUCCGAAUUAUUGAACGUCAAGCUGUAAACACGUGUCCGAGUGACGAUACUGAAGUAUUACAAAAGCGCGCGUUACACCGAUAAGAGUACAGGCAGAGUCUUCGGCCAUAGCUGCAGGGUUACGACACCAACUCCCGAGGCUUUUGAAUCAGACCGAGCUGCGAAAUCUCGUCGCAAUUAUCCCCUUCCAGUUGGUUACUGAAAUUCGAGGCACCCCUAUCCUCCGCCUUCGCUUGGCGAGAAGGGCGGAAAAGGGUGAUCAUGGGCGUCGAACACCCCCAACCGUUCACCCAUACCUAUCUCGUCAUAGACGACACGAUGGAGGCAACACGGAAAUGGUCGUUCGUCGUGCCGUGGCCUCCACGUCUGAACGUCGAUCAGCCGUCGGAUUACGCAUGUCCUGGCAGCUGCGCAUCCUUCCUGGGCGUUCCAAAGAGCCGCCAAUCGCUGAAACCCUCUAAUAUCAACCACCCGUUCUGCCGACCAAUGGGAGUCGUCCGUUGUAUCAGCGAGGGUGUCAUCGGCCAGUUGGACUACGCGAUAUUAUCAUUCUCGUGGCCGAGGCAGGAAUAGGGUGAGCGACGAGGGAACGAGAAGGAUGGAAGCUCCUGGUCAUCGAUCCUACGCUCUACUCUGGGAAUCAACGCCACCUUCGGGCCAUCGACGUGGGAUACUAAGCUCGACUGGCUGACGGGCAUGGCCUUCUGCGCGAAGAAAGGGACAACAUUUGCGAGCUCGUUCAUCGCACAUCCGGUAGAGGAUCCGUCAGGAUUAUGUAAAUAUCUGCAACGGAACUAACAAUCUCUAUUCUCAAGAAAUAAACCACGGAGCUGACGGAAUACACGGAGAACUUCACCCACGAAGACAUCUCGCCCAAAACACUAUGAGAGGUUUAACCAAAACGUUUGCGACGCACCAGAACCGAUACAACGAAACUUGCCCGUGCACAAACUCGAUAGAACGGAACCUAAGAUAAAACUAGAAGCGUGGAACAGCCAUCCAUCGGACGAUCAUCCCCUCGCUGCAUGAAUCCGCGUGGCGCGAAGUCAACCCUGACCCGGGUUGCCGCUGCUCCGCCGCCUCGUGGAAUCGCCUCGUCGAGCCACCCAAACGCCAGGCUCGACUCGAUCGCAGCGAGAAGUAGGAGUGGAGGAUCGGCAGUGGACUCGUGGAGGAGGAAAGGCAACUGUAGAGAAGAGCCACUCAGCCCGCCCACCCCCGUAUCUCCGUCUCCGUUCGAUCUUCCCUCUGCCGUAGAGCGAUCGACUGAAUGGUUCGCGUGGAAACGGUAACGCUCGCGAAACCGGGGAGUGGGUGUCGGCGAGAGAGGAAGAAAACGGCGGAAGAAAGCGGCGAAAGGAAGAAAGAAAGAAAGAAACGGGCCGGAACAGAGACCAAGGGACUUUCCGUGGCCGCCUGGGCCACGGCCCUGGGCAAGGUGGGCCACGGGCCACAGGGGCAGCCCGCGCCGUUCAGCACGCGACGACACGCUACCGUCACCUUCUCCCCUCUAUAAACCCCUUCCCAUCAUCCUCCAUCUCGCUUCGUUCUCACCGAACCGCAUCAUCCGGCUGCCUCGCACCAGCACCCGCUGCACCCAUACGUAGUCGUUUCUGCACCAACGGGCACCACGACCGAAGCGUGCACCGCUCGUGGCACAGGGUACGGGGGACCAAAUCGAAAGCAAAGCCCGUAACCCCCGUUCGCGGGCCGAGCCCACUUCAGACACGUCGUGUCCUCCGCGUGGUCCACGUCAUUUCGUCCUGGUCAUCCGCCUCUUCCAUCUUCCACCUCUCGUCCUUGUCGCUUCUGCAGCCUCGCCGGAUGAACCUCGUUCUUCCUCCAACCUGGUCCUCGUCCCGACCUCUUCUCUCCAAAAGUUCCACCUAUUCCCCUCUUCGUCCUUCCCGAGUACCCUCCCACCCCGUCUGCGCCUCGGGUGCUUCCUUCUCCGUCCCGCCUUCGUCUCGCUUCUUUCCGACGCUCUGCGUCCCUCCUGCUCCCUCCUUUCGGCCGUCCUUCUCGCCGCACGCUC